rnacentral:rRNA from 1 species
CCCUUUGGGGUGUGACUGCGUACCUUUUGUAUAAUGGGUCAGCGACUUAUAUUCUGUAGCAAGGUUAACCGUAUAGGGGAGCCGCAGGGAAACCGAGUCUUAACCGGGCGUUAAGUUGCAGGGUAUAGACCCGAAACCCGGUGAUCUAGCCAUGGGCAGGUUGAAGGUUGGGUAACACUAACUGGAGGACCGAACCGACUAAUGUUGAAAAAUUAGCGGAUGACCUGUGGCUGGGGGUGAAAGGCCAAUCAAACCGGGAGAUAGCUGGUUCUCCCCGAAAGCUAUUUAGGUAGCGCCUCGUGAACUCAUCUCCGGGGGUAGAGCACUGUUUCGGCUAGGGGGCCAUCCCGGCUUACCAACCCGAUGCAAACUGCGAAUACCGGAGAAUGUUAUCACGGGAGACACACGGCGGGUGCUAACGUCCGUCGUGAAGAGGGAAACAACCCAGACCGCCAGCUAAGGUCCCAAAGUCAUGGUUAAGUGGGAAACGAUGUGGGAAGGCCCAGACAGCCAGGAUGUUGGCUUAGAAGCAGCCAUCAUUUAAAGAAAGCGUAAUAGCUCACUGGUCGAGUCGGCCUGCGCGGAAGAUGUAACGGGGCUAAACCAUGCACCGAAGCUGCGGCAGCGACACUAUGUGUUGUUGGGUAGGGGAGCGUUCUGUAAGCCUGUGAAGGUGGCCUGUGAGGGUUGCUGGAGGUAUCAGAAGUGCGAAUGCUGACAUAAGUAACGAUAAAGCGGGUGAAAAGCCCGCUCGCCGGAAGACCAAGGGUUCCUGUCCAACGUUAAUCGGGGCAGGGUGAGUCGACCCCUAAGGCGAGGCCGAAAGGCGUAGUCGAUGGGAAACGGGUUAAUAUUCCCGUACUUGGUGUUACUGCGAAGGGGGGACGGAGAAGGCUAUGUUGGCCGGGCGACGGUUGUCCCGGUUUAAGCGUGUAGGUGUGUGUUCCAGGUAAAUCCGGUUCACUUUAACACUGAGGCGUGAUGACGAGGCACUACGGUGCUGAAGCAACAAAUGCCCUGCUUCCAGGAAAAGCCUCUAAGCAUCAGGUAACAUCAAAUCGUACCCCAAACCGACACAGGUGGUCAGGUAGAGAAUACCAAGGCGCUUGAGAGAACUCGGGUGAAGGAACUAGGCAAAAUGGUGCCGUAACUUCGGGAGAAGGCACGCUGACAUGUAGGUGAAGUGAUUUACUCAUGGAGCUGAAGUCAGUCGAAGAUACCAGCUGGCUGCAACUGUUUAUUAAAAACACAGCACUGUGCAAACACGAAAGUGGACGUAUACGGUGUGACGCCUGCCCGGUGCCGGAAGGUUAAUUGAUGGGGUCAGCGCAAGCGAAGCUCCUGAUCGAAGCCCCGGUAAACGGCGGCCGUAACUAUAACGGUCCUAAGGUAGCGAAAUUCCUUGUCGGGUAAGUUCCGACCUGCACGAAUGGCGUAAUGAUGGCCAGGCUGUCUCCACCCGAGACUCAGUGAAAUUGAACUCGCUGUGAAGAUGCAGUGUACCCGCGGCAAGACGGAAAGACCCCGUGAACCUUUACUAUAGCUUGACACUGAACAUUGAGCCUUGAUGUGUAGGAUAGGUGGGAGGCUUUGAAGUGUGG